ACAUAACUAAAUGGGGUUGCAAGGCUCCCAAAGUUCCAACAAAUCUAGACGAUGCUCUGUCGGGUUAUUUGGUUUUUGAGUUCAUGCAUUCAUGGUACGAUGGAUUGCUACAUUUUCCAGUACCCACGGACGGUUUUCAACUAAGGAAGCGAUUUUUGGUUCACAUCCUGAAGUAUGAAGCAAAUGAAGCUUUAAGCAAUAUCCCAGCCAUUGCACGAAGCCUUAUUGAUCGCAUAAAAAAG